rnacentral:lncRNA from 1 species
UGUGUAAGUGUUUUCAAAAAUAUAAUCUUCAGUCAAAAGAUAUGACUUUAAUAACAUCAACCGGUUUAAUAAUGGUGCGAUCAACAAAUAUAACAGAAAGAAUAAAAUACCAAUUUUCACUUAUUCAGCAUAAUGGGUAUAAAAGAUGUACAUAUGAUUAUUGUGAGUUGGAACAUUAUAAGGGAGUAUUGUCUCAAAGUUAGAAUAAAAUAUUUUUUAACUCUGACCAUGCAAGACUCUCAUGGGUAGUCAAGCCAGUCCUAUACUUUCAAUAUUGUCAGAACAGAUUAUUUGUUUUUGAAAAUGUUUGAAAAACAACAUUUAUUGCAAAAGAAGAAAAACAUCUAAAAAUGCACAUUUCUAUUUUAAUUUCUGUGUUCAACUUUCUAAAUUUAGAAUGUUUCAGUAAGUUUGUUUAAUAGCAGCUAUACCUUUAUUUUGUUUGCUUUAUUCAGAAUGACAAACAUUUGGAUUUUACUUUAAACUUUUCAACAACUGUUAACAUAGUUUUUCAUUUACAAUCUUAAACUAUCAAUUUUCAUGAAUAUUUAAUGAUAAUGAAAUAAAUCUAAAUUCAUAAUUUAUAAUUCAUAUUUAUAAUUACUAUGAUAGUGAUCUGUGACUAAUUGAAUGAUGAUAAAUUAAACAUUAAUACUGUAAUUCUGAUGGCAAGAUCAAUGAAAAUGAUUAAAUCAUCUUUCACACACAUAUUGCAGUACAACUGCAUACUGUGAAUUCAUUAAUAUUCAUUGGAUACCAAUUUUCAUGGAUUUUGUGGGUACAGGUAAACAACAA